CCUGGCUCAGGACUAACGCUGGCGGCGCGCCUAACACAUGCAAGUCGAACGAGCGAGAGAGAGCUUGCUUUCUCGAGCGAGUGGCGAACGGGUGAGUAACGCGUGAGGAACCUGCCUCAAAGAGGGGGACAACAGUUGGAAACGACUGCUAAUACCGCAUAAGCCCACGGGUCGGCAUCGACCAGAGGGAAAAGGAGCAAUCCGCUUUGAGAUGGCCUCGCGUCCGAUUAGCUGGUUGGUGAGGUAACGGCCCACCAAGGCAACGAUCGGUAGCCGGACUGAGAGGUUGAACGGCCACAUUGGGACUGAGACACGGCCCAGACUCCUACGGGAGGCAGCAGUGGGGAAUAUUGCACAAUGGGGGAAACCCUGAUGCAGCGACGCCGCGUGGAGGAAGAAGGUCUUCGGAUUGUAAACUCCUGUUGUUGAGGAAGAUAAUGACGGUACUCAACAAGGAAGUGACGGCUAACUACGUGCCAGCAGCCGCGGUAAAACGUAGGUCACAAGCGUUGUCCGGAAUUACUGGGUGUAAAGGGAGCGCAGGCGGGAAGACAAGUUGGAAGUGAAAUCUAUGGGCUCAACCCAUAAACUGCUUUCAAAACUGUUUUUCUUGAGUAGUGCAGAGGUAGGCGGAAUUCCCGGUGUAGCGGUGGAAUGCGUAGAUAUCGGGAGGAACACCAGUGGCGAAGGCGGCCUACUGGGCACCAACUGACGCUGAGGCUCGAAAGUGUGGGUAGCAAACAGGAUUAGAUACCCUGGUAGUCCACACCGUAAACGAUGAUUACUAGGUGUUGGAGGAUUGACCCCUUCAGUGCCGCAGUUAACACAAUAAGUAAUCCACCUGGGGAGUACGACCGCAAGGUUGAAACUCAAAGGAAUUGACGGGGGCCCGCACAAGCAGUGGAGUAUGUGGUUUAAUUCGACGCAACGCGAAGAACCUUACCAAGUCUUGACAUCCCUUGACGAACAUAGAAAUAUGUUUUCUCUUCGGAGCAAGGAGACAGGUGGUGCAUGGUUGUCGUCAGCUCGUGUCGUGAGAUGUUGGGUUAAGUCCCGCAACGAGCGCAACCCUUACUGUCAGUUACUACGCAAGAGGACUCUGGCAGGACUGCCGUUGACAAAACGGAGGAAGGUGGGGAUGACGUCAAAUCAUCAUGCCCUUUAUGACUUGGGCUACACACGUACUACAAUGGCGUUAAACAAAGAGAAGCAAGACCGCGAGGUGGAGCAAAACUCAGAAACAACGUCCCAGUUCGGACUGCAGGCUGCAACUCGCCUGCACGAAGUCGGAAUUGCUAGUAAUCGUGGAUCAGCAUGCCACGGUGAAUACGUUCCCGGGCCUGUACACACCGC
rnacentral:rRNA from 1 species